GGUAAAAUGGUCGAGUAAUUAGGCGAUAGACUGUAAAUCUAUAUACGAGAUUUUCAUCUCUUUUACCA
rnacentral:tRNA from 1 species